UUGCUCUUCAACGAGGAAUUCCUAGUAAGCGCAAGUCAUCAGCUUGCGCUGAUUACGUCCCUGCCCUUUGUACACACCGCCCGUCGCUACUACCGAUUGAAUGGCUCAGUGAGGCUUUCGGACUGGCCCAGGGAGGUUGGCAACGACCACCCAGGGCCGGAAAGUUGUUCAAACUCGGUCAUUUAGAGGAAGUAAAAGUCGUAACAAGGUCUCCGUAGGUGAACCUGCGGAGGGAUCAUUAAUGAGAACUUGCCCUAACGGGUAGAUCUCCCACCCUUUGUUAACCAAACAUUGUUGCUUUGUCUGGCCCGACCCUCGGGUCCGCCGGCCUUCGGGCUGGUCAGCGCCGGACAGAGGAAACUAAAACCUUUAUCACUGUCGUCGGAGUACUAUAUAAUAGUUAAAACUUUCAACAACGGAUCUCUUGGUUCUGGGAUCGAUGAAGAACGCAGCGAAAUGCGAUAAGUAAUGUGAAUUGCAGAAUUCAGUGAAUCAUCGAAUCUUUGAACGCACAUUGCGCCCUCUGGUAUUCCGGGGGGCAUGCCUGUUCGAGCGUCAUUACAACCCUCAAGCUCUGCUUGGUAUUGGGUCAGCCCCUAGGGGCUUUCCUCAAAUUCAGUGGCGGCGUCCAUUGGGCUUCAAGCGUAGUAAUUCUUCUCGCUUCGGAGUUCCGGUGGGAGCUUGCCAGCAACCCCAAACUUUCUAUGGUUGACCUCGGAUCAGGUAGGGAUACCCGCUGAACUUAAGCAUAUCAAUAAGCGGAGGA
rnacentral:rRNA from 1 species